rnacentral:lncRNA from 1 species
GCAGUAUAGAACAUGGGCAACCAGAGGCUGUCUCAUAUUCGGGACCACCAGGUAUGAUGACCACACUGAUGGGAUAUUUCUGGGGCAAAGACAACCUACCCAACUGGAAACACACGUAUAUCGAGAGUGGCUGCUCUUGUCAAAAACUACAGUGGACUGAUUUCACUUUCCAGUGGUGGAUGGAGCAUCUCAAACCUUAGACAGAAUCCCAUCUCCUCAUCCUCCCUGCACAAAACCCCAUCUCCCCAUGGGAAGCAUGCAGGACAGAUUUCUGCUCUUUGCUGAUGUCUUUGUCCUGGCAGCCCCUCAUAGCAGCCUGCAGCUUCCUCAUGGCAGCCUAUAAGCGAUAGCCUGAACCCUUUCAUUUCUUGUUAGCAAGCCAUAUUAAUCCCUAAAACAACUCCCCUCCACUUGCUCACCUUGAACUACAAGAACUCAUUUCUCAUUCAUCCACACAGCAUCAUAAACAGAGCCGCAGUGGCAUGAGGGGACAGCAGCAUGGGGGAAAAUGGCUCUCUUUAAUGAGAUGCAUCCCUGUCUUGCCACCCCUCCAUGUGCCCCACUGCCUCCCUCACCCUCUGCUAGGUCUGGAUCAGAAGCAGAGCACGUCUCCCCAUUCCUUUCCAAGAGACGGACCCCUGCAGAGGCGAGGAGAUUAACACCGCUGGGCUGUGCCAAACGGCAGGCUGAUUCCUCAAUGUGGGUCAUGUCCCAUGGGACCAGAGCCAAAAGCAAACCAGUCUGUCAUUGCAGAGUAUUUAUAGGAGGGCUGAACCUACCCCGCAGCCCCUGCACGGCCUCCCCACCCUUCUCAUCCGCUUGCUGAAUGCUUAAAUUUGAAACAGUUGUUGCAUGUUGUUUUAUGGCUGCUGGGGUAUGGCUGGCUGUCUCCCUUAUCGGUGUAAAACGGGGAGCUGUCAAGUGGGAGGGAACGCAUGAGUGGUUUGGUUGAAGUUUUUCAUUUCUUCUGUGCUUCUGAUUCCCCCCAAGCUGGCUUGGUUUGCAAGUGGAGACACCAGGAAUGGGUUGUAGUGGGAUGCUCUCGGCGUUGAUCCAGGGAGGACUUUCUGGUCCGAUGAGCCUGGACAUUGAAGUCCUCUGACAGAGAGCCAGAGAUACUUCAGGAGAAGAGAGGGCUUAUCUGGAGAAGAGGAGGCUCAGGGGAGACCUUUUAUCUCUCUACACUACAGCUACCUGAAAGAAGGUUGUGGUGAGAACAUGUCUUGAAGACAGAAACAGGGGUUAGAAGAGCAGAUUUUACUCCUGUGAUUAAGAUUUGCACCAUUUGACUUUGGGUUGUAAAGAAAAAGAAGAAAAAAUAAAACAAGGGAAAAAAAAAAGAGUAAUGCUUUACUAAUUAAGGCACAAUUGAAAGUGAUUGGUGUGCACUGGCAAGCUGCUCCUCUCAGAAAGAGCUGGACUGACAUCUCUACAAUCACUCAGUGAGUAAGCACUGCGAAAACACUGUUUGGCCUGGAAGGAGCUAAUAAGUGCAUAGAUAAAAUCUUAUUUUGAAAGCAACAACAAAGGGCAUGUGAUUUAUAUCUUAGUUGGUGACUUCAUAUGUUUUGCAGAGUUUCUCCAAAAUAUAUCGGAAUUCAUAAUUCAUUUUUAUAACGCAUUACAUUAAAAUAAUAAAUGUCAGGAAGUUUUUCAAGAGACUGAAAAUUCUGUAAGCAGUGCUGAGUGAUCAAAGGAGGAUUUUGACAGGGAGAGACUCCCGUUGACUUGGGGCUUUGGAUCAGACCUGACGCUGGCAACAAAAUGGACAACAGUUAAUAAAAGUGUGCCUGUUAGAACUUGGAUAAGUUAGAGCAGCUAAUUGCAGCAUCUCAACACAAGUUGGGGGAAGAUGCAUGCUGGCUGGAUCCUCACCGCUGCAUGUGAUGGGAUGCUGUUGCUCGUCUACAUGGCAGCAACCAUGGAUGAGCCAAGACAAAGGAAGUGAUAGAGGAGGUGGAGGAGAGAGCAGGGAUUAGAGGGCUGGAGGAAAAACAACUUUCAGGGGGAGAAACCAUUCCAAAACCUACAUUUAUGCAAGGAAAAAGACUGCUGAGUUAAAAGUAGUAUAUCAUUUCUGGACUUUUUCAUUUCCUACAUGUUGGAGGAGUUAUCUCUGUGUGUUUCCAUUCUUUUUCUUAAUGGAGGCAUAUAUGACGUGUUUCUCACUCAUUGUAGUAUUUCAUGUUUUCAUGAGUGUUAACAAAAGCAUGGGACAAAGCCAAAGAGGUAACUACCCACCAUACCCUAGUGCAGCUGUUUCACGUUUAUAAAACUCAUGUAUCACCAUGCAGAAUUGGUCAGUGUUUUGCCUGUCUGUACCUGCAGGGAUGUAUUUUGCUGCAAAAUGCCAUUCAGGUUUGUGGACCACAAAAUGGAGAUGGAGAUCCCACAACUUCAGUUGUAGAGCAACCAGAACUCAUUCUCUCCUCACACAUCUAGAGCUCCACUCCCAGCCAUCCUAGUGGCCUUGCUGGGCUUUUUUCUAACCAUGCUGGUGGCCUUGCUGGGUGUUUUCCUAGCUCCUGGUACUAGGGAGCUCAAGUCCAGUGCCCAGAUGUGAUCUCAGGGUCUGAGUAGAGGGGAAGAAUUAUAUCCCCUAGCUUGCUAGCUGCCCCUUUGCAAAUUCACCUCUGGAUGUGAUCAUCCUGUGCUGCAAGUGUGGAGACAUAGUAGUGAGGACCUCAUAGUCUACCAAGAUGCCCCUGGUCUAUCCAGAUGGUCCCAGCUUGUGCUGCCACAUGGGUUAUUCCUCCUCAUAUACUGAACUCUACAUUUCUCUGCGGUGAACUUCUUGAGAUUCCUGCUAAUCCUUCUCUCCACCUCAUUUCUUCGAAUAGCAUUGCUCCUCUGCACUGCAUCAAUCACUCCUUGUUUGUGUGUCCUCUGCAGACUUGCUGAGAGGGCAGCCUGUUCACUGCCUAAGGGCUGCUUGAGCUGCCAGGUAGCUCCACAAUGACAUCCUUUGGAAAUGUGCACCACCUCCGACUUGAUCAGCUGGGCUGUACAACCUUAAUGGUAUAGAAGAUGCAGUUUCCAUGCAGUUUCAAGUCGUCAUCCAACUUUUAGAUGCAAGAUCUAAAGGCCCAUGUGGUACUUUAAUAUCUUGAUGAUUUACAGCUGGGAUUGAGACUUUGUCCAAACUUUCACUCCAUUUGUAUAAACCUUUCAUGCUGAUUGAGAACUCUGCAAAUGAAGUCUCUGACUUUUAUUUACACUUUAUGAAAAUUGAGUUGUUCUCAAGUGACCCUACAUCUCACCUCAGAGUGGUGAAAAUUCACAGCCACGGAGCGUGGAUUCAUGCAGACUGAGGGCUCAGUUUGUAGAUCUGAAUCUACAGAUAUUCAAAGAGAUUUUUCCCAGGGGAAAACAGUCAAAUGUGGAUGAUAAAAGUGAGUGAGUAAUGUACUGAGAGCAUAUCUUCUUACUGCAUUUGCUCGGAGUGUCUGUUUAUGAUGAAUGUAAAGCAGACCCAACAGCAGAGUUCAGUUAGGGGUGUGCGUUUAUGUGCUGGGAUUUUAUGUCUAACAUGGCCUGUUAGGCUUUUUGAAAAGGAAAAACAUAAAACCUUGCCUGUUUUCUUAAAAAAAUGCAUUACUGUACUGCUCUUCGUGUUUUAAAGUACUGAUAAAAAAGAAAGAAAGAAAGAAAGAAGUUGUUUAUAUUAUUUGUAUUACCUUAAGCCCCAGGAAGAACAGACACAACUCCAUUUGCAAGCAAAUAUAGCUUGUGUUGGAUUGAAUAGCCCAAGAAGGUGUCAUUAUUCCUUUCUCAGAAUGCAUCAGCUAAACGUCUUGCUGAGGUUCACAUACAAACCCUACAGCAAAGCUGGGCCUGCGACCAGAACAGCUCCUGCCAAGAAAACAAAGACCGUAUCAGCUGGAUGGUAGGUGCCUGUGAUGUGUGAGGGAUAAGCAGAGAGCUGUGGAAAGAUUUCUGAGAAGGAACCACAUCAGUGUGCUGGGCCAGCGCUCCCUUGGUGCCUGAAACCUCCAGCUGCUGAUGUUCUGGAGUGAGAAAAUGGGCAGAGAGAUUAUUUUUGAAUUUUUGAGGGCUGGCUUUGCAUCUUGGCCCAUCUUUUUCUGGAAACGGUUAGUAGUUGUAACUGACUCCCAGAUGUGUGGCUAAAAUAAUUUGCUUUUAUUAAUAUUCAGAUAUGAGAAUCCAGAAAUAAAGUGGGGAAAGAUGUUAAGGGCAGACUAUUGCAGGUUUUCUUGCCUUUUGCCUUGAAAAUGCUUGUGCAGGCCCUAGCUGGAGGCAGGUUCCAGGAUGUAGAAUCACAGAGUCAUUAAGAUUGCAAAAGACAUCUAAGAUCACCAACUCCAACUGCUGACCCAUCCCCACCAUGCUCACUAAACCAAACCCUCAGAACAUCUCCAUGGUUGAGCCCUUCCUGGGAUGGCGACUCCACCACUUCCCUGAGCUGCCUGUUCCAAUGCAUUGCCAUCAAUGCCAUUUUGAGUUGGGAUGGUGCUUCUUAACUUUGCCUGGGCUCAAGCCUGCACUACUGGCCUGUGAACAUCUCAUCAGUUUUACUACUUCUCUCCACUGCCUUGCAAGAGUGGACAGUGCCAUAUAUCCUUUUGACUUGGUCUAGAGGGAGGUGUCCCUGCCCAUAGCAGGAAGGUUGGAACUAGAUGGUCUUAAAGAUCCCUUCCAAGCCAAACCAUUCUAUGAUUCUGAUUCUGUGACAGGAGACAGACAGGCUACAAUCACACUACAGUGACCAACUCACUGUGAUGAUUUAGAGAAACUGGUAGAGCUCCUGAAUUGCAGACUGAUUUUAUGAAAGCUCGCCAAAGUUUGCAUUUCAUGUCUCAUGGAAGCACUCCAAAGAGUGCAGAAUGGGAGCUCCAGGUGAGCUCAUGUGUCCUGGGCAGUGUGAAAGAGCAACGCUCUCCCUGGUGGACUGCACUACAGCACAUGAUCCCUUCCAGAUGAGGCAAAAUCUCCUUUGCAACAUGACAGAAAGAGCCAGCACCACAGAGGGCAUGGAGGAAGCUUCAGGGCAUACAGAUCUGAGAUGGCAGAACCAAAUAUGUCUUUCAAGGUAGCACAAAGCCAAAGGGGAGCCUUUCUCAGCUCAGACCCUCCAUACAUUCUCAUCCAAACUGCUAAGCUUUGCUAGGGGAGGUUGCAUUUCACCAGUGGAUGGGGUGGUUUCUCUGUGUCAUUUCACUUGCUGAAGACUCUUCUGACUUAGGUCUGUGAGCUGGUAUUAUUAUUAUUAUUAAUAAUAAUUUAUCGCAUAGUUCCCCUCUUAUUUUGAACAAGGUCUUUGAUCAUCUCUUUCACCUUCUCAGCCCUUGGAGCAAUUUGCCAUUUGUCAGGAAGAAAUAGGAGAUGAAGCUGCUCUUCCUCACAUUGCAAUUGUUGGGGAAUUCCAGAGAUGGAUGGGAACAGGACAGGAACUGAAAUAAAUCUCCCCCAUCCAAAGCUCUGAAUCCCACUCUCUCCUUAAUAAUAAAGAGAUUUACUUCAAGCCUUUCCCAAUAAAACCAAGUGUGUGUGUGCAUCAUAGGUUGAAGGAACAUAUAUUUGAAACCUGAAAGCAGAAUGAGAAGUAAAACCUUGUAAAUUUGCCUCAGAUAACUUGUAAUCUCAUCCUCAGCUGUCUGACCUCACUAAUUUAUUAUGUCUUGCACCAGUCACUUUUGGGAUUGGGGAUAUAUUUGUUUCCAAGCUAAGGCAAAAGGUUUUCACUGUGUUUGUGUGAAGAGAAGACCCCACGUAGAGCAGGUCCAUGGUUAUAUAUUAAAG